rnacentral:rRNA from 1 species
UGUGGGGCCGCAUAGACAGCCAGGAGGUUGGCUCAGAAGCAGCCAUCCUUGAAAGAGUGCGUAACAGCUCACUGGUCUAGUGGUCCCGCGCCGACAAUGUAGCGGGGCUCAAGCACACCACCGAAGACGCGGCGGCGCGUGUAUGCGCGCCGGGUAGGAGAGCGUCCUGCAAGGGGCGAAGCGGCGGCGUGAGCCGGCCGUGGACUUUGCGGGAGUGAGAAUGCAGACAUGAGUAGCGAGAGACGGGUGAGGAUCCCGUCCGCCGGAUGACCAAGGGUUCCGGGGCCACGUUCGUCGUCCCCGGGUGAGUCGGGUCCUAAGGCGAGGCCGACAGGCGUAGUCGAAUGGAUGAACGGGUGGAUAUUCCCGUACCGGCAGCGAACCGACAGGACCGAGGCGGUGAGUACUAACCUCCGUCGCGGGCCGUUCCCCUCCUUCGGGUGGGGUCCGGCGCGUGGCGUUGGGAGCGUAGCCGUGGUAGGUGAGCGCAGGGGUGACACGGAAUGGGAGCCGGCCGCGGAGGUGGUUUUCCGUGGUCAAGCACGCAGCCAGUCGCAUAGGCAAAUCCGUGCGGCGUGUAUGGCGAGGUGCGAUGAUGGGAGCCGUUUCGGCUCGAUAUCCGGUGGUCCAGGCCGUCGAGAAAAGCCCCGGCGUCAGGCGCGUUGCCGCCCGUACCCCAAACCGACACUGGUGGUCAGGUAGAGAAUACCAAGGCGAUCGAGCGAAUCCUGGUCAAGGAACUCGGCAAACCGCUCCCGUGCCUUCGGCAUAAGGGAGACCCCCGCGGGUGAACGGACAUGCUCCGGGAGCGUGUGGGGGUGGCACAGACCAGGGGGUAGCGACUGUUUACCAAAAACACAGGUGCAUGCGAAGGCGUAAGCCGCUGUAUAUGCACUGACGCCUGCCCGGUGCCGGAAGGUUAAGAGGAUCCGUCAGCCCCUUCGGGGGUGAAGCGGUGAAUUCAAGCCCCGGUAAACGGCGG